rnacentral:misc_RNA from 1 species
UCCGGUUUGUCACCGGCAGUCUCCUUAGAGUUCCCAGCACGACCUGAUGGCAACUAAGGACAAGGGUUGCGCUCGUUACGGGACUUAACCCAACAUCUCACGACACGAGCUGACGACAGCCAUGCAGCACCUGUCACCUGGUUCCCGAAGGCACACCCGUAUCUCUACAGGCUUCCAGGGAUGUCAAGAGUAGGUAAGGUUCUUCGCGUUGCGUCGAAUUAAACCACAUGCUCCACCGCUUGUGCGGGCCCCCGUCAAUUCAUUUGAGUUUUAGCCUUGCGGCCGUACUCCCCAGGCGGGGCGCUUAAUGCGUUAGCUGCGGCACGGAGAACAAUGAAGCCCCCCACACCUAGUUCGCACCGUUUACGGCCAGGACUAC